rnacentral:rRNA from 1 species
GGAGGACCGAACCCACUGUCUUUGAAAAGCCAGGGGAUGACUUGUGGAUAGGGGUGAAAGGCUAAUCAAGCCUGGUGAUAGCUGGUUCUCCCCGAAAGCUAUUUAGGUAGCGCCUCGGACGAAUACCAUUGGGGGUAGAGCACUGUUUCGGCUAGGGGGUCAUCCCGACUUACCAAACCGAUGCAAACUCCGAAUACCAAUGAGUACUAUCCGGGAGACAGACUGCGGGUGCUAACGUCCGUAGUCAAGAGGAAAACAAUCCAGACCGCCAGCUAAGGCCCCAAAAUUAUAGUUAAGUGGGAAACGAUGUGG